rnacentral:lncRNA from 1 species
GUGAGAACCAAACCAGGCUCCCUUCCCACUCAUUUAUUUUCCACCAACAUGUCAAGAAUAAAUCCAACAAGCAACACACAAGCAUCCUAGCGAUGCACAAACAACUAACAAGCAAUGAUGUCUCCAACCCGCCUAUCACACAAGGCCACACCUCCCAGUCACACAGACUAGGACAACAUCUCCCAUGUCACACAGACAUAAUACCAGGCAGUCACACAUACACACCUCCAGCCAUACAGGCUCCGGAAGGAUCGUCGUACCUUCCCCCACCGUUGAAUUACCGCUAUAGUCACACAGACAACAAUAGCGCAGCAAACAAGUCCAUACCUCGACACAUCAUCACCGAGAUGAACACCUGAUCUAGCUACAUUACCAAUCACUACCACACAUCAGGGUGAACAAUCAAAUAUGCUGGUUCUUCCUCUGAUGAGAUCUUAAUUCAUUUCAUUAGACUCACACAUGGAUCUAGCUAGAUGCACAAGGAAACAUCCUAGACUCAUCAGAUCUAGACUCCACACACCAGAAGAAGACAAAUGAAUAAGAAGAAGACCCUAGAUCUAAUCCUCACCUUGGCCUAAAAGCAGAUCUGACUUAAGGAGAACUGGUGGCAAAGGAAUCAAGGAGUUUCUGCGAAGGAGGAGGCUGACGACCACUCCUUGUCCUCUCAGACGGCAGCGGCGGUGAGCUCAGGCGGCUGCGGCGGCUGGAAAAAUACCUCAGAGUCAUGGUCGUUGCUUACAGCGAUGCUGGGUUGAUUUUGAUCGAGGCAGUGCCUAUCGUCGGAAAACUAUCCUUUUACGUGGAUAAUCCGGUUUCUAGGGAAUUUGUAAAAAUCCUUCCUCCAAGGUUUCAUCAGAAGGCAAUUCACUAUCCGUUGGGUAUUGUCACACGAAUCGAUAACGGCGUCCUUUUGAGUUAUAAAAUUAUUUCUUAUGAUGGAAAACAGAACUACAACUACUGCAAGAUUUUAAGGUUAAUGAUAUAUUCAUCUGAGACAGGCUUGUGGAAUGACGAAACUGUCCAUUUGCCUUUCUCCUUUGAGUUAAUUAAUAAAUGUAGGUGCUCCAUUAGCUUGAACGGAAAUCUUUACUUGCUAGCCUGCAAGGAUGACCUUAAAGAAUUUGUUUUGUCCAUCGAUUACAACGCCACUUGCCGUGUAACUCCUUUCCCUGAUUUAGACAAACGUCGUAAAUUCGAAAGAUUUUUCACAACUUCUCAAGGGAAUCUCAUGUAUAUGAACAUAUUCUUCCAUGAUGGAAGUCUCGAUCAUAAGUUAUUCUUCCAUGAUGGAAGUCUCGAUCAUAAGUUAUGUGUAUGGACGCUAAAGAGCUGGGAAUGGCAACUAGUAUCUGAAAUCUCUGCGGAUUUUACCAAGACCUUUCAGUUGGCAAUAAACCUUUUUGAUGCUACAACAGCUUACUUUCGGUGCAUGAAGCGCCACUGUUUGCUAUCUAUUAACUUAGACAAUGGGGAGUUUGUUAGAUACCUGAAAGAUAACAUCUUUGAAUGUUACUAUUCCUCAUUCGUUCUCCCUUAAUGGCUGCAUCGGAUCCCCAAGACAGUGAGGAGAGUCUAGACAUAGUGUUUGCAAGGCUUCUUUAUAUUUGCUAAUUACUGAGUUUGGUUCCAUAGGCAAGAUGAAGAAUUGUAGGAUGGUAUUGUACGGUUUAUUUUAAGUGGUUUUGUUUUAUUUAUGAAAUUGGCUACGGCCCUGAGAUAUUAGUGUUUUCUAUAUUCAGACUUCACUAAACAUCCGACCAAAAUAAAUAGAGUCAUAUGGAUUGCAAAAACCGAGCUGGAAAGUGUUUGGAUAGGGUUUAGGAAAACGGCACAAAAUUUUGGAUCUUCAACUGUUUAUUUAAUUUAACCAGCUUCAACUCUUGCCAAUAAGAAUAAGAGGUGUUAAGUUUGGAACCUAGAGUAAGAUUGUAACCAGCUUUCAGCUUUCAACACAUUUUUUUCUGGGGAUAUAUAAUUUACAUUGUAUGAUCUUUCUGGUUCAGAAUCCGUUCUUGAGCCAUAGCGUUGAGAUUGUUGUUUCUAUGACCAAGGUGGUUUUUGUCACCCGAUACAUUGUAAUCUCUUCAAGAUGAGUAGCCCACUCCAAAUAUGAAUAUAAAAGUAUUACAAUAUUUCGACUGAUUAAGCAGGAGUGGUAAGGUGAUAUUGUUCUCUGGACCUUUAACGGAAAUCCUGAGCGUUGAGAUUGUUGUUAACUCAUUAUACAACUUGAAGAAUAAUGUUUGAUUUAGUUGACAGAGAAGAGAAAAAGGUUAAAAAUCCAUUACCAUAUCUGACAUCUAAUGAACAAAAAGAGAUAUCAGAAUCUCUGUUUAUUUUGAUUCACUUGAAUAGAUUGAACGAUGGUCAUAUUUAAAAAUGAAGUGGUGGUGAAUGAAUUAGUGAUUCCUAUUUGUUAACGAGUUGUUUUGUAGGUACUUCUUCAUGCUUAGUUAUGUUUAAGAAACACUAGACUUAAUCACUUAAACGACGUAAUAUUGUCACUCAAACUUAUGUUUAUGUUCUUCUUACUUGUGUCACUCAAAGAAUGGUUCAAUAUUCAUUAGUGGAUGUUAAUGAAUGGUUAUUUACGUUAACUCCACAAAACGCAAAACAGAUACUAUUCCAAAUUCACACUCACUGCAUCACACUUCUCGACAAAACACAUGGCAAAAACCAGAGUGGAAAAAAUAUAAGUGUAAUUUUGAUGCGAGCUUUAAUCAUGAAAAUCUCCACUCUAAUGUAGGAUGGGUUGUAACAGAUCAUUGUGGCAUACAGUAUUUUUGGGGUUCAGCAUCGAUUGGACAAACAAUCCUCACCACUGGAGGCAGAAGCUAAAGCUCUACUCUUGGCAAUGCAACAAGUCUGGUGUACAGGACUUUGAUCACUAUGUUUUGAAGGAGAUUGUAAAACACUCUUUGAUGUCUUAGAAAAGAAAUCUGCUGAGUUCACUAUCCAAAAUAUAUGCAGUGAUAUCUCUCAUUGGACAUCAAAAUUUGUGGAAUGUAAACUUCAACAUACAAAAAGAUCAAACGAUAUUCUAGCUCACCUGCUUGCCAAAAAGGGUCCUCCAAAUUCCAUUUUCUUUUCUUCAAAGUUGUAUCCACCAAGAUGGUUAUCAGUUUCUUUGUAUUCUGAUUAUGUAAACUCAUUUUAAAAUAAAUAAAAUUCACUUUUGCCGAAAAAAAAAAAAAAACUUGUGUCACUCAAACGACUGUGGUUUUGUCAUUUUACCGAAACGAGACGUUUUGGUGCUUCUUCUCUGUUAUUCUUGAAUCUUCACUCGAGUCGCCAUUUCAGCAUUUCAGAUUCUCAGAAAAGAAACCCUAAAUCCUUGCUUCUUCUCCCCUCACUCUCAAUUCGUCUGCCUCUUGAUCCUUGUGGGUUAGUCAGAACAGAAAAACCCACUAGUAGUUCGUUCUAUUCGAUUUGACAAAUAUGCUUAUACAAAAUUGAAACUGGGCAUGGACUUUAGGGAUUGCAUGUUUGUUCUUAGCUUCUAGGCUCUUUUCUUGUUACUCUCUUAAUAUUUUAUGUAAAUGUUCACUCUUUCCUCUGUUUUUCCCCCUUUCACUCUUUUUGGUAUGUAAUUUGUCUUCUGUUCCGUGAUGUUGAUAUCUGGGUAUGAUCAAAUUCAUAAAUUUUGUAUCUUUGAUCUCUUACAAUCUCUAUUUGUAUGAUCAGUUUCAUAACUUUUGUCUCUUUGAUCUCUUACAAUCUCUAUUUGGGUUUUCUUAUUCAUGAUUGUUUUGGCGAUUUAAGUUCCUCGAAUCUUGUAUUUGUGUUUGCUCUUCUGCUGAGAAUUGGAUUAUGCUAUGAAGCGAAUAGUUGUGGUUUAAACCCUGUUAGCACUUUUUUUUUUAUUUUGAGUUUCUGAAUCGUUUCAUAUGCCUACUUGCCAUUAAGCAGAUAUUGAUUUCAAUGUCACUUUUAAUUUAUGCAGGAUGGAUUCGCAGUCACAGGAGGAAGCAAUUGCGGCUCUUAAUGCUGAGAAUGAAUGGGAAAUGAAUAAGUGUGACUUUGAAAAUCAGGAACCAGCAAGAAACGAGACUCAAGCGACUCAAACGGUUUUUAAUUCUAAUCGAAGCCUGAGAGCUGAUGUCUGGAAAGAGUUUGUGUCGGUGGGAAAAGGGGAAGAUGGCAAAGAAAGGGGUCGUUGCAUCCAUUGUAGUAAGAGUUUUGUAAUAGAGAGGAAUAAUGGAACAUCAGCUUUAAGGCGCCAUUUACUAUCUGCUUGCUCAAAGAAGCCUAAAGAUAAAAGUGGAAGCAAUGGUGAACAAGACAAAGAAGUGGGAGCCUCAGUUUCCGAAUCCUCCUGCGACAGAGAAGAAGUGAGCAACAUUCUCUCGAAAAAGAGACAGCGUAGUUCGAUAUCGGAGGACAAGACACGCUCGGCGAUGCUGCUCGGUCUGGAUAUUCUCGACUGUCCCAUUUGCUUCGAAGCACUAACUGUUCCUAUCUUUCAGGUAUUGUUUCUGAUCUUUUUUAAAGAGUUUCUUUUUCUUGUAACUAGAACUGUCCAUCCCUUGAAAUGUGGUUUCGCUAUGAGUCAAACUCUGCAGAGGAUAGUUAAUGCAUCCAUAGCUUUUGUUGAUUUUAGGUUUCUGGCAAAGUUUGACUCUUUGUUUCUAAAAGAUUUAUAUUCCACAUUUUGUGAAGCUAUAUGCUGAUAAAGACACAUUUUUUACAAAACCCAUGUUUACAAAUGUAGUUCUUGAAAAUGUGUGUAUAACUAUGGAAGAUCUAGUAUAUAUCAUGAACUAUCGAUUCCCAAUUGAGGUUUUUUGUAACGCUUCAUUUGGGUUUUCUACUGUGACAAUGCGAUUUGCUUACUGUUUUCAAAGUUCAUGUUCCAGGUUUUGGUUUCUUAUCUGUUUCAACCUAAAAACAGUUUAUCUCACUUUAAAGAGUUUCCUUUUCUUGUAACAAGAAUUGUCCAUCCCUGGAAAUGUUGUUUCGUUACUCUGCAGAUGAUAGUUGGAGUAUCCAUAGCUUUUGUUGAUUUUAGGAUUCUGGCAAAAUUUGAUUGUUGUUUUUUUAAAAAAUUUAGGUUCACCUUUUAUGAAGCUAUAUGAUGAUAAAAGACACAUUUUUUAAAAUGUGUGUAUAACUAUGCAAGAUCGAGUAUAUUUCAUGAACUAUCAAAUACUAUAUCGAUGAAUCCUCUCCAUGAAUUAUAUUAAUUACCAAUUGAGGUUUUUUUGUAAAGCUUCAUUUGGGUUUAUUUACUUUGACAAUGCGAUUUGUAUGUUAAACUGAUUUCAAAGUUCAUGCUCUCUUCAUUGCUAUUUGAUAUUCACUGCGAGGAAAUAUUUUCUCUUCUUGAAUAUAUUCAUUACCUAAAGAAGUGGAAAACCCUUUGCUAAGUUUCUUUUCAGGAAUAUGUGCGGUUAUUAAAGCUUUGAUCGAAACUCGUUGGUUUUGCAUUUCAGUGUGAUAAUGGGCAUUUGGCUUGCUCUUCGUGCCGUCCCAAGCUGAGUAAUAAGUGUCCUGCAUGUGCUUCUCCUAUUGGCCACAAUCGCUGCAGAGCAAUGGAGACUGUGCUCGAAUCAGUCUUUCUUCCAUGUCCAAACGCCAAGCUUGGAUGCACCAAGAAUGUCUCUUACGGGAAAGAAUCAACUCAUGAAAAGGAAUGCACUUUCUCUCAAUGCACCUGCCCUGCAUUGGACUGCAAUUACACCGGAUCAUAUAAUCAGAUAUAUAGUCAUUUUGUUGAUGACCACAGUCACAAACCCAAAUCUAUGUCCUUUGUGUGCGGUGGUUCUGUUGAUGUUCAGAUGAACGUGGCUAGCGACAAGAUGUUAGUUCUUUGGGAAUUCAAGAAGAAACUAUUGUUUGCACUUCAGUGUUUCAAUGAGCCGGCUGGUGUGUAUGUGACCGUUAGAUGCAUCGCACCAUCUUCUCCUGAAGUAGAAAAGUUUCCGUAUUGUCUCUCCUACUCAAUGGAUGGGCACACUCUUACUUAUGAAUCACCAGA